rnacentral:rRNA from 1 species
GACCGUGCAAAGGUAGCAUAAUCAUUUGCCUUAUAAUUGAAGGCUAGUAUGAAUGGUUUGACGAGAAUUAAGCUGUCUCUUUUCAACUAAAUAUAACUUUAUUAGUAGGUGAAGAAGCCUGUAUUUAAUUGAAAGACAAGAAGACCCUAUCGAGCUUUAAAUGACUUAAUAAAUUAAUGAUAUAUUUAUAGAAAAAUUAAAUUAUUAAAAAUUUUAGUUGGGGCGACUGAGGAACAAACGAAGCUUCCUCACUAAUAUAAAAACAUGCAAGUAUUGAUCCAAUAUUUUUGAUUAAAGGAAUUAGUUACCGUAGGGAUAACAGCAUAAUCCUCUUUGAGAGUCCUUAUCGAAAAGAGGGUUUGUGACCUCGAUGUUGGACCAGAAUAUCCAGAAGAUGCAGCCGUCUUCAAUGGUUGGUCUGUUCGACCAUUAAAAUUCUACGUGAUCUGAGUUCAGACCGGCGUGAGCCAGGUCAGUUUCUAUCUUCAAUUGUUUAAAUAACCUUAGUACGAAAGGACCAGGUUAUUACAUCAGGUUGUUAUAAAUAGAUUAUAUAUAAAAGAUUACUAAAUUCUUAGUUAAAUCAAAUUAGCAAAGAUAAAUGCAAUUGAUUUAGGAUCAAUAGACAUAGGUGAAAUUCCUUUAUUUGAUAAUAUUUAUUAAUAUAAAGAUGGCAGAAGAA